GACGAACGCUGGCGGCGUGCUUAACACAUGCAAGUCGAACGGAAAGGCCCUGCUUUUGUGGGGUGCUCGAGUGGCGAACGCGUGCGUAACACGUGAGUAACCUGCCCUUGACUUUGGGGUAACUUCAGGAAACUGGGGCUACUAUCGGACAGGAGCUCCUGUUCCAUGGUGGGGGUUGGAAAGUUUCGGCGGUUGGGGAUGGACUCGCGGCUUAUCAGCUUGUUGGUGGGGUAGUGGCUGACCAAGGCUUUGACGGGUAGCCCGCCUGAGAGGGUGACCGGCCACAUUGGGACUGCGAUAGGCACCAGACUCCUACGGUAGGCAGUAGUGGGGAACAUUGCACAGUGGGCGGGAGCCUGAGGCAGCGGCGCUGCGUGCGGGAUGACGGUCUGUGGGGUAAGAACCGCUUUCGCCUAAUACGAAGCGUGAGUGACGGUAAUGAGUAAAGAAGCACCGGCUAACUACGUG
rnacentral:rRNA from 1 species